CAUCGUGAGGUGGAAUCUGAAGGAAGUCGGCAGCAAAGCUCCGGUCUGAGGAACACGAACUGCAUAUAAGGCAUAUACCUGUUGGGUGAAUUUGCAAUACAAAACAAAAGCCCUAAACUAUUCGAAACAGGUGAUGUAAAUGCAGCGGAUAUAUGGAGUGAAAGUAAG
rnacentral:ncRNA from 1 species